rnacentral:rRNA from 1 species
CCUACGGGAGGCUGCAGUGGGGAAUAUUGCACAAUGGACGCAAGCCUGAUGCAGCCAUGCCGCGUGUGUGAAGAAGGCCUUCGGGUUGUAAAGCACUUUCAGCGGGGAGGAAGGCGGUGAGGUUAAUAACCUCAUCGAUUGACGUUACCCGCAGAAGAAGCACCGGCUAACUCCGUGCCAGCAGCCGCGGUAAUACGGAGGGUGCAAGCGUUAAUCGGAAUUACUGGGCGUAAAGCGCACGCAGGCGGUCUGUCAAGUCGGAUGUGAAAUCCCCGGACUCAACCUGGGAACUGCAUUCGAAACUGGCAGGCUAGAGUCUUGUAGAGGGGGGUAGAAUUCCAGGUGUAGCGGUGAAAUGCGUAGAGAUCUGGAGGAAUACCGGUGGCGAAGGCGGCCCCCUGGACAAAGACUGACGCUCAGGUGCGAAAGCGUGGGGAGCAAACAGGAUUAGAUACCCGUGUAGUC